rnacentral:rRNA from 1 species
GACAGAGGGUGCAAACGUUGUUCGGAAUUACUGGGCGUAAAGCGCGUGUAGGCGGCUCUGCAAGUCGGGUGUGAAAUCCCAUGGCUCAACCAUGGAAGUGCACUCGAAACUGCAGGGCUAGAGUCCUGGAGAGGAAGGUGGAAUGCUUGGUGUAGAGGUGAAAUUCGUAGAUAUCGGGAGGAACACCAGUGGCGAAGGCGAGUCUCUGGGAUGAUGCUGACGCUGAGGCGCGAAAGCCAGGGGAGCAAACGGG